GGGCCUGUAGCUCAGUUGGUAGAGCGCGUGGUUCGCAAUCACGAGGUCAGGGGUCCGACUCCCCUCAGGUCCACCA
rnacentral:tRNA from 1 species